AUACGUAGGUGACAAGCGUUAUCCGGAUUUAUUGGGUCUAAAGGGAGCGCAGGCGGAGAUGCAAGCGUGACGUCAAAUUUCGGGGCUCAACCCCGUCUCGCGUCGCGAACUGCGUCCCUUGGUUGCGGGAAGGGGAGGCGGAACUCGUGGUGUAGCGGUGAAAUGCAUAGAUAUCACGAAGAACUCCGAUCGCGAAGGCAGCCUUCCGGCCCGUCAACGACGCUCAUGCUCGAAGGUGCGGGUAUCAAACAGGAUUAGAUACCCUGGUAGUCCGCACAGUAAACGAUGGACACCCGCGGUUUGGCCUGUAUGGCUGAGCCGCCAAGCGAAAGCGUUAAGUGUCCCACCUGGGGAGUACGCCGGCAACGGUGAAACUCAAAGGAAUUGACGGGG
rnacentral:rRNA from 1 species